rnacentral:rRNA from 1 species
GAUCAUGGCUCAGGACGAACGCUGGCGGCGUGCCUAAUACAUGCAAGUCGAACGAGAGCGACCGGUGCUUGCACUGGUCAAUCUAGUGGCGAACGGGUGAGUAACACGUGGGUAACCUNCCCAUCAGAGGGGGAUAACAUUCGGAAACGGAUGCUAAAACCGCAUAGGUCCUUUAACCGCAUGGUUGAAGGAGGAAAAGAGGCGCAAGCUUCUGCUGAUGGAUGGACCCGCGGUGCA